ACCGAAUUGGUGUAGGGGUUUAACAUUCGGGAUUCUCAUUUCCAAUAAUGGCUUUCCCGAGCCAGGAGUUCGAAUCUCCUAUUCGGUG
rnacentral:tRNA from 1 species